rnacentral:lncRNA from 1 species
GGGGUUUCACCAUGUUGGUCAGGCUGGUUUCAAACUCCUGACCUCGUGAUCUGCCUGCCUUGAAUCCAUUAUUUACAGAUUGCCUGAUUUCCUCCCUUCAUAAAUAUUUCAUGUCAGAUACUGUGCUUUGUCAGAGUAAAAAGCCUGGAUUGCGCCUUCAGGGAGCGCAGAGUCUUGUGGGAUGGGAGAUGUAUAACAAUUUCCAUGCACACUAAGACUGUGCAGAGCAGGAGGUGGCCAACUUUUUCUUAAAGGUCAGGAUGACAAAUGUUUGGUUUUCUGGGUGUGCUGGGGAGUCCCCAAGACCACCCUCAGCUAAAUGAUUUUCUAUGGGGACUCAUAGGACUCAGCACAUAGCUGUACUCACUGCUAUGAUUUAUGACAGCAAAAGGAUACAAAACAAACCCAAAAGGAAAAAGGAGAAAGGCUCCUGGACAAAUCCUGGGGAAACCAGGUCCAAGUUUCCAAGGGUUCCCUCCCAGGGGCGUUGCACAGGACAUGCUCAAUUCCUCUGAGCUGUGACAACACAUGGGAAAUGCUGUCUACCAGAGAAUUACGUUAGAGACGCAGCACCAGGGUUUUUUACUGGGGGCUGUCACAUAGGCAGCCUCUGCCUGGUAUGCACCAAAAUCCCAGGCUUCCAGAAGGAAAGUGGGUGGUAAACCUAGGCUGUUUUGUUUGUAUAAUCAGAUUAAGCACAGAGAGCCACUCUUAUCAGUUCUGCUGGGAAUCCUGAGACCCAGGCUCUUAGAUGCCAACCUCAUAAGCAAGACUUUCAAAGGACAGCAGCCAGGCCAGCUCUGCAAACUCCUUUCUGCACAGAGGACCAUACAGCCUCUGAAAACUCAACGCUCCUACUGUAGUGCAAACACAUCCCAGAAAAAAAAAAAAAAAACAUAAACAAAUGGCUGUGUUUCAUUAACACAUCAUUUACAAAAGUAGGAGUCUCCCAUGGGCUGUAGUUUGGGUCUGGUCUAGGGGAAAGCCACGUGACUCUUGGCCUUCAAUGUUUUCAGCAACUUCCCUCAGCCCUGAGCCAUGGUUCCCAGUCAGGGCUCCGAGUGAAAAGUCUUAGGGUUCUGUGAACUCUUCUCCUCACAUUGCCAAAGGCAUUAACAUGCUGCUACCCUCAUCACUAGUGCUCCCCUGCCCCAGUGAUUACGCCUCAGAAACAAACCAAGAUACCACACUUUUCCACUUUAGGUUAGAAUAUUCAGGGUGUUCUCUCUGGUUAUCUUGACAUGUUCAAAAAUUCUCAUUGGCAAAUAUUUUUAAUUCAAAAUGGCAAAAUUAUGUAUUUCUUGCUUUAGCAAAAGAGGGUGGUUGACAACUACUUUUUAAACCUGUGUGCUAGGCCAUAAAAGGGACAGAAGUGGAAAGAAGGCAGUGCAGGUGAGGAGGGUGAGUAAGCGUGGUCCUUCACGGCAGAUUCUUCCUGAAGCUCAGAAGUCUCUUUAGGCUCUUGGGAGGGGGUGAAGGGCAGGCAGGGUGUUCCCUUUCGCCAGUGUAUCAGUCAAUGCUUCAACAGGAAAGAGACGGCCCACUUUAGUAGGGGGAGACCCGAGGAGUAUGUAAUAAAGGCACCAUUUUCAAAGGUGUGGGUAGGGUGUCAGGGAACCACAAGGGAUAGGAUGAUUCCCUGAGGAAAGUAACAUGAAGCAGUUAGUACCCCUACGCCCAGUGGAAUGAGAGGACAGAGCUGUCACCAGAACGUGUAAGAGAAAAGUCAUGGAGAGAAAGCUGAGAGGAGGGCUUUGGGGUCAUGGCAAGUGAUGCUGAAUAAACACCCCAAGUUCACUCUUUCCUCCCCACUUCAAUCUCAUGCUAGGUCAGGCCACUGGCAGAACCCAACUGGAAACCAGAGAUUUCCAUUGAAAUGUUCCAUAACGUCAGCCUCUCAGGGUGGAGGGAGGUGGGUGGAGAGUGUGUCUGGAGGGAGGAGCAGAAGACGCUCAUUACAGCUAAGAUCUGCUCUCUGUGGUCACUUUACAAGUUAUCAAGCUUGGCAAAUCCAUGGUAAUUGAUAUCAAAAUGACUAAAAUGACUGAGUUUUUCUAUAACAAAGGUGAAGGAUUCACUGUGACCAAAGUUCUGAGCAGAGGCCAAAUGUGGGAUGUCCAGCUUUGAUGUGGAAAUGUAACCAGAACAAGAGGCAAGGGGAGCCUCUUCAAAGCUAUCCUGGGCAAGAGGUGGUUUGCUCAUCAGAAUCCUGAGACUGUCCAUUGUGUGGCCUGGAUUUCCAGGUCACCACCGAAGAAAGCUGAUGUCCUGUGGCUUCUAGUUUAUUGGAGUUGAGGGAGAACUUGGCAACUGGUAGGAUGGAGAAAAUUAAACAGCCAUAGAGUUAGACAUCACACCCAUACCUCUAUUCAACUAACAAGUAAUCUCUAAGUUGGGAUCUAGGACUACAGAAAUGAGAAAAGCCAUGGUCCCUGUCCUGGAGAAGCCAUGCCGCAUUAGGGAAACCAACAACAUAUCAGGAAACAAUGACCCCAAUCACAUGAAUAUGAGAAGUGCCCCUGCUUCUUGUACUCACCUACCCCAACUCUUACUACUUUGAAAAUAGAAACGAGAACCCACCAUAUCCAGAAAGACUGCCCUGAAUAUUCAACUGUGUGGAGCCUCAGCCUGCCACCUGGGCCUCUCACCAAAAGGUGCACACCUGUUUAUACCCCUGGGUUGAAUGCACUGUGACCUCCUUAGGACACUGUAGCUCUUAAUCUCCCUGCAUGCCAGGACCCAGAUUUCCUGAGGUUUGGGGAUGUGGGCUGUGAGACAAGGACAGCCAGGGAGCCAGUCAUUCCCAUGUUUUUCUUCUUCUGUCAUCAAAGCCUGGUUCUUGUCUCUGGAGCAGACUUGGCAGACACAAGUGGCUACUCAGGUAACAGCUGAAAUCAGUUUUAUCCACUUAGCUGCUCUGAAGAGUUUAGGGAGAUGCUGGGAGAGACGUGUGCACUUACUAUCUGGUACAGCUGUCAUCAGAGCUGUUUAUUGCUCCAGAGUCUGGGAAAAUCAUAAUGGGGCAGACGAUUGUUAUUUAAAAACAAAACAACAAAGUGCCUCUUGACUGGCGUAAUCACAAGGCUGGCAGAUCACAGAGGGAGGUUCGGCAAAGAGGAUUUUCUCAAGUCCUCACAUGGACAUCUCAGAAGCCCAGCCUAGCGGAUUAAAUAAACAAAUUGCUCGAACACAAAAAAGGUGUUCAAGAUGCCCUACCUUCAGUGCCUGCAGUCCCAGCAAGCAUAGCUAAGCUUUCUGAGCAAUGGGGACUCUGGAACGUUUAAGGCAAAAAGUGACUUAGAACGAUGGUCCUCAGUGGAGGAAUGUUAUAAACCAGGGGCUAUCUGGAAUGCCUGGAGACAUUUUUGGUUGUCAUGAUGGUGGGGGUGGUAGGAGGUGUCUAGUGGCUGGUCUGGGAUCCCACUCAACAUCCUAAGUGCACAGGACAGCCCCCCACAGCAAAGAAUUAUCUAGCCAAAAUGUCAGUAGUGCCGCUGUUGAGAUACCCCAACUUAAGGUAUAAUAAAAGCUAACAUGUUUUUACCUCUUACACUGUGCCAGACAUGAAAUGACUUACAUGCUUUAUCUUGUUUAAUCUUAGCAAUAACUCAUGAGGCAGGUACUAAUAUUAUCCCUUACCUUACAGACGAGAAAGCUGAGGCACGGAGACCAUAAGCAAUGUUUCCAAAGUCGCACGGUUGGAGGAAGAGCAAAAUCACCUGCAAGGUUAUGAUGAAUUUUAAGAAGUUUGAAAACCACUUCUCUGAAGCAGGAGGCUUCUGUCCAGGAGGAGGACGUUGCAGAUGAGUAGGCCUUUGUUAGCUUCUACUCCACCAAAGAGCCUUUGCAAACAUGCAGAUGAGAAUCUCAACCUCCUGCCUCCCGCCUCCAACCUCCACCAGGCCCCACUCCCUUGCAUUCUUUGAUAUGGCCAAUCUACGUAUUUUUAUUUUUAAAUUAUUAUGUCAAUAGUUUUUGGGGAACAAGUGGUGUUCGGUUGUAUAAAUUCUUUAGUAGUGCUUUCUGAGAUUUUGGUGCACCCAGCACCCAAGCAGUGGAUACUCUGCCUAAUGUGUAGGGUUUUUAUUUUUUAAUUUUUUGACAGUCUCACUCUGUCGCUCA